CCGCAUACACGCUCUAUCGCUGACACCUUGUGUGUAAGAGGAAAGUCCGAGCAACGGAGAGCGCCACGCAAGUUAAUGGCUUGAUGCCCGUAAGGGUAUAGUAACGUAGAAGAAAAUAACCGCCCGUAAGGGUAAGGGUGAGAAGGUGGGGUAAGAGCCCACCGCAAGGGUAGCAAUACUCCUUGGCUGUGCGUCUCGUGGGUUGCAAGACCAUGUAUACCGACAAUUAAGGGUUGCUCGUCCGAUGUCGGGGGGUAGGUUGCUAGAGGCUAUGGGUGACCAUAGUCGUAGAUAAAUGAUAGAGGCCCCGUAAGGGGUACAGAACUCGGCUUAUAGUGUAUGCACGACA
rnacentral:RNase_P_RNA from 1 species